UACGUAGGGUGCGAGCGUUAAUCGGAAUUACUGGGCGUAAAGCGUGCGCAGGCGGUUAUGUAAGACAGAGGUGAAAUCCCCGGGCUCAACCUGGGAACUGCCUUUGAGACUGCUUGACUAGAGUACGGCAGAGGGGGAUGGAAUUCCGCGUGUAGCAGUGAAAUGCGUAGAUAUGCGGAGGAACACCGAUGGCGAAGGCAAUCCCCUGGGCCGGUACUGACGCUCAUGCACGAAAGCGUGGGGAGCAAACAGG
rnacentral:rRNA from 1 species